GCAGCACCAGGCCCCCAGCCAGGAAAGCCAGAGACCCUGCACAACACAGUACAACGUACGCUUAACUUUAAUAACACAUUAGCUUUUUAACAGCUGCUUUUGAUGUUUAUCUCAGAUCCAGUUUUACUUCUGGUGUUUAAAUUUGAAAUAUCUUUUCUUUCCACCUCACUCCCAGCGUACCCGGGCCUGUGAAAAAGCUGGAUUCCCAAUAUUAUGUAAAAUGAGGUAAAAGCGGAUAAACGGGCACACUAAGCAACGGUGAGCACAGACCAGAAACGCCUAACGACAGUAGUUUGUGGAAGGAAAAAACCAUGACCCGGCAAACAGGGCGUAGGGCGCCCAAGGCUCAUCGACGUACAGGGACAACGAAGCUUAUCCUGUCUGGUCCAAACCAUGAAGGAAUGUGUCACAGCACCUUGCUGGGUUUGGUGUGAAAGUACCUACAAUGGGCAUAAUGGGCAUUUCUGGAACUUGCAGCAAUGGAAGAAGGUGGCCUGGUCUGAUGGCACCAGGAAGUACUGCAACGGAAGGAAGCUGCUGGGAACCCCUUGGUCCAGACAUUCACAUGGCCCACAAUUAGACACCUACCUAAACGAUUUUGUAGACCAGACACACCUCUUCAUGGCAGUGGUAUUCCCUGAUGGCAGUGGCCUCUUUCAGCGGGAUAAUGCGCCCUGCCGCACUGCACACAUUUCUCAGGAAUGGUUUGAGGAACAUGACAAGAUUUCAAGUUGUGCCCUGUCCUCCAAAGUCUGAUCUGUGGUGGCUCCACUUCGCAACUUAUAGGACUUAAAAGAUCUAAUGCCAACAUGCCGGAUACCACGGGGCAGAAUCCCGAGGUCUUUUGGAGUCCAUGCCUCAGUGGGUCGGGGGCUGUUUUGGCGACACAUGGACGAUCAGCAGCAUAACAUUGCAGACAGGAUGAUAUCAAACCCACCGAAGAUGAUGAGUGGCAGCUCCAGCCAGAUGACAGCCAGUCGGUAGAGCAGGAACGGUGCUACGAUGCCUCCAACAUCACACAGAGUGGAACAAACUGAUACUCCCAGGUUCCUACAGGAAGAACAACCACGGGAGUUUGUCAAGUCAUACUCCCCCCCCGACUCACUGUCGGGAAUGAAGGCAGUGAUGAAGCAGGAGGCUCCAGCGACGAUGUUGGCGGAGGCGAAGGGGAGACGUCGCCCAAUACGUUCAAUGGUGAAGAGGAUCAGGAAGGCGGCGGGGAACUCCAACAGUCCGGAGAUGAGGAAGUCGAUGUAGACAUUUCCUCCCAGAAUACCCAGCCGCAUGAUCAAACCCUGGUAGACCACCGCGCUGGUGAACCUGGAGGAGGCGGCGGGGGUUUUAUUUCCUUUGUCUGAGCUUGGUCGUUUUUUCUGUACCCAAAAAUAAAAACUUUGUCUAACUAAAAACCCACCAGUUGUAGCUGAGGAUGAAGGUGUGUUUCCUCAUUUUCGGAGUCCUGAUCAGAUCCAUGAAGGAGGCGGUAGUGGAGUGAGCAUUAUCAUCUGUCAGAGUCUGCAGGAUCAAAUUAAAAACCGUACAUUAACAGAUUUAUUUAUUCUUCCUUUUUCUGGAUUAAAUUUAAUGUAUUUUACAAUAAUGCUUUGAUAACUGGAAUUUAUCUAAAACGAAAAUAAAAAAAUAAUAAUAAAAUUGUACUCAAUGAUAAGUGUCUUGAGACAAAAAACCGCCACAAAUAAAUUGGAGAGAAAAGUAAGUUGCAAUAAAUAAUUAGAUCAAAUAUUGAAUCAGGCGAAGGGUGAAGUGUCUUGCGUCUGCAGGAAGCAGCGUUAAUAGCACUUCUAGCAGCAAUAGCAAAGUGGACUAAAGUUUGCGUCUUAUUCUAAACUUUAUUUGGGGUCACAGAUGCACAGAUUUUGUUUCUCUAGAAUUGACUUGACGAAGCGGACACAGUCUGAUCUGGUGUCCUAGUGUGUGUCCUAGUGUGCGGUUGUGGCUAAACCAGCAGCUACCUCGAUGUUUUUGGACAGAGUCCUCUUGUUUUCUUUGGCCAUGUCCUCGGUGAUCUUCACAGCUUUGGACUUUUUGUUCUGAGAGAGAAGCCAUCUUGGAGAUUCAGGGAUGAACCUGCAAGCACAAAACUUUCAUGAAGAAAUGACAACAAACUUGAUUUUGUAUAAACAUAUAAACUCACAACUUUUUUUUCUUGUUUUUAAAUGAAGGACGACCGAAAGACAGUGAUGUGAAACAAUAACUACUGCUGUUUAAGUUUAUUUAUGGUGAAUUUUCAGGAGUAUUUUUAAUUUUGUCG